CCCUCCCUCACCCUAGUUGAUUUUCAUCUUCUUCUCAAGAAGAAAAGAAGACCGCCGCCCUCCGCCACUCUCUCUCAAAAACUCUCCACGCCGCCUCACCUUCUCCCCCAUCGUCAUCUUCGCCUUCACUGGAGCAACCAACAUCACUUCUCAUCCUUCUCUCUCUCCACACCGCCGUCUCCUCCACCGGCAAAGAGCACGUAGCAGCCGGCGCUGCUCUUCAUCGCCUCCAUGCAGCAGCCAAUGGCGAAACUCCACCAGUGAGCAACAGGCAUCCGCUCCAUCUCGCUGUCCAGCACUGCUCCUUCAGCUGCAGCAACAUCAAUAAUGUCAACAACAUCACCAACAGCUGCAGCAGCCAGCAGUUCCUCCGGCAGCAACCAGAUCGGCGAGCAACGACAGCAACCGGCAGCAGCAUCAACAGCUGCAAUGGCAGACAGCAGCUCCUCAGCGGCCACGAGCAGAACCACCAGCAGCAGCAACCUUCAGUUGUAGCGAACAACGCAGGAGCAGUAACAGGAACACACAGCAGCAGUUCCUCCGCUAUCAAUCGCGAGAACGACAACGAGCAUCAGACGGAGUUUGAGGUCUUAGUCGCUAGAGACAGAUCUUAACAGAUCUAUGCUUGGUAGUGUUGGGCCCGAAACUAGAGCUAAGAAAAUCAAAAGAUGUUACAAAUUACAUUUAAUUGGAGUGGAAAGGCCCACACAAUAGUGCAGAAUAGAAGUUGGUAGUUGGCAUACCUGCGCGGUCGGCUGAGCGAAGUGACUCCAAUCGCCCAGUCGCAUGGAGCACAACAAAACAACUCAAAAUUUAGGGUAUUUUUGAGAUUUUACAAAGGAACACCCCAUGCUUUAUAAGUUUAAAGUGUCCCAAAAGACGAGGGCGUCAGGAGGAUAGGAGAAAAAUCAUGAGGAGCAAGAAAAAAAAUGAAGAACGAGAAGGGUACACCACUCUAAUCCAAAACGGAAGUUGGGAUUAAGAGUUGUUUGUGAUGUCUUCUAGUUUACUCUAUAUUUUUAUGAAGUUGUUUAUUUCUAUGGAGUAACUUCUAAUUAGGGCAAGGACAAUAUGACGUAGGGUUGUUACUAUUGGAUUAUGUUUAUGUUUAGAUGCAUAAAAUUGUGAAUUUCUAUUGAAAUUGGUAUUGAAAUGUUAGUUAUUUUUGCAA